UAUUGAUCGAAGUGUAGACGUUUCUUCGAAGAUCGAAUUUAGACCAUCGGAAAGCUUGGAAAUGCAACUAAAACUUUGCAUCCUUAGCUUUCGUUCACUUUUAACUGCAGGUUAGCCUGUCAAUGUUGUUAUAAUUUACCUGAAAAUCAGCUCAAAUCAUCUGGAAAUUUACCUGAAAUUAGGUAUGAACAAAUAUUGGGGGGGGGGGGGGGUUACACUUCCCUCUACCCCCUCCCCGCCGGUUGCUACGGCCCUACCCAGACGCGUUGCUACCACUGUUUAUAUUGUACACAUAGGUUGUGGGAUUGACUAAAGCUAAAUUUUGUAUUAAGUGAACUGAGUGGCAAGGGGCAUAUACAGUAAG